UACGUAGGGUGCGAGCGUUAUUCGGAAUUACUGGGCGUAAAGCGUGCGCAGGCGGUUUUGUAAGCCGGAUGUGAAAUCCCCGGGCUUAACCUGGGAAUGGCAUUCGGGACUGCAAGGCUGGAGUGCGGCAGAGGAGACUGGAAUUCCUGGUGUAGCAGUGAAAUGCGUAGAUAUGCGGAGGAACACCGAUGGCGAAGGCAAUCCCCUGGGCCUGCACUGACGCUCAUGCACGAAAGCGUGGGGAGCAAACAGG
rnacentral:rRNA from 1 species